CCUACGGGGGGCUGCAGUAACGGAUAUUGGGCAAUGGGCGAAAGCCUGACCCAGCGACGCCGCGUGCGGGAGGAAGCCCUUCGGGGUGUAAACCGCUGUCAGGGGUAUGAAAGUCCACUUCGGUGGAUUGAUCUAACCCAGAGGAAGUCACGGCUAACUCUGUGCCAGCAGCCGCGGUAAGACAGAGGUGGCUAGCGUUGUUCGGUAUCACUGGGCUUAAAGCGUGUGUAGGCGGAAACGUAAGCAUUUUGUGAAAUCCCUCGGCUUAACCGAGGCAUUGCUUGAUGUACUGCGUUUCUUGAGGCAGGUAGGGGUGCGAGGAACUCUUGGUGGAGCGGUGGAAUGCGUAGAUAUCAAGAGGAACGCCGGUGGUGAAGACGUUGCACUGGGCCUGUCCUGACGCUGAGACACGAAAGCGUGGGGAGCGAACGGGCUUAGAUACCCCUGUAGUC
rnacentral:rRNA from 1 species